GUCAACGUAUUAUGAAGAGCUGACUUUUCUCCAACUGAAAUCUCAUCUGCGCAAUUAGUUACCUGUUGAAAGCAUAAUUCACUUUCGGGUAAAUAGAGUGUCCAUCUGUCUUGACAGUGCAGCCAUUUGGCUUUCAUUGCAAAUAAUACAGUUGCGAAGAGUGUAUGUGUUUUGUGAUGGCCUUUCAGCCUUUACGCACGGAGUCCAUUACCGCUCACAGCAUUAAAAAAUGACCUAUUCACCUCUCUAAAUUGAGAAGAAAAAAAAACACCAUCUUUAAUUUUGAAGAAUGGGAUAUUUUGGGAAACCAAUGGCCCGGCUGUACCUGAUUCUGCAUUAACUAUUAAGUAUUGCAAUUAAUUCCCAGAUCCAUUUGUCAUGCAAAUAGACCAGUGAAUAAUGCAUACGUUUCGGCUCAUAAAUAACUAAUUUAUGCAAUUGCAAAGCGCUUUUUAAGAUAAAUAUAAUUAAAGGUCAAUAGGGAUUACAUAAACACAGUGAACUUUUAACAUGUUUAAAUGGCAAAUCUGGGCCUGUUUGCUAUAUCAGGUAAGAAGCAUAGGAAAAAAAAAACUUUAGAUUUCUGAUAAUUGGUUCCAGACAGUUUUUCACUCCAGACCGCUGGAAUUACCUGUUUAGCUUUUUGUUGGAAGUCUUAACAUGUUUACCAAAGAGUACGUUAGCUGGAGGCUGACUUCCAGGCAAUCAAUUGUAUAAUUGAAUUAGAGUGAGUGCUACAGCAGGUUUUGACACACAGGGUUGUUGUGUCUGUCCAUCUGUCGCGCCGGGGCAGGAAAAGAAGCCGUAUCCUGCGGUCUCCAAAGCUGCUAGAUAUGGAAGCUUUAGCCUAAGUUCUGCCAGGAAGACUCAAUCACUUCGUCACUAAUUACCUUCAUCAUUAUCCAAUCACGUCUUCAUACUCCUGUAUAAAAGAUCGUACUUACACAUGUUUGAGUUCGCAGAUGCCAACGCGAUAACAACCGCAGAUUCCGACGCGAUUGUACUUGCGCAAGCUGUUGUGUUUAUUCAUCUACUUGCUGUAAUUAAGUUCGUGCCCCGCAAACUAUCUAGAGUUCGACGUUCCUCUAAGAUGCACACGGGAUCGUUGGCUUAGCUCCGUGUCGCGGUGAUUAUCUGCAGUCGUUUGUGUUGGAUGAUUUACAAGCUUUUCUCGGCAGAGGAUGUGAACAUUGGCGGAGUUCCGUGUGCUUCCAGGCCAGGGUUGCCAGGUUCUCAAAACCACCAGUUACUAUUAAAAAAAAAAAAAAAAAAAAAAAGCCCAAUCGCGUUCAAAAGGGAUUUAUCGGUAGAAUUCACAUUCUAGGGGCUAUAUAUAACACUAUUGGGAUCACCUCAAACCCAGGACAGAAAAGGCAGCCCACAAAAAAAAAAAAAAUACGGUCUUGGCAACGCUGGUGCUUUCCGAGAUGUCGCGUCAGUGCUGCUUGGGUCUCAACACCUGAAAAGACUUUGGUCUCAAUCAACAAAUAUUCAUCUGUACGCUCACGUGAACCUGCAGCAAUGAAGUUUCUCCGGACCAGCAGACAGAAUUAAGGCUGCCAGUCUCUUCGGCAUCUCGCCUCCAUCACUUCACAAGUCUACAGCAUUAUAAGUAUCAUUUUGUUCUAUGCACUUGCGGCGCCUGGGCAUUAAUUUAUUCUCUGCAAGGAUUACUUGCACGUUCAAAUAAAACACUGGGCGUUUCGUGCUUGUUUAUUGACUUGCACAGCAUAAUUAAGAUGUUGAUCAUAGUGCAUGCGAUUUUCUGAAUAACUUCUUCGUAAUGAGGCACUUUAAGGCUCAUCAUAAACGCUACAAUCUUUAUUCUGAUAAAGAUUUUUCGCAUUUCUUAAAAAAAAAAAAAAAAAAAAAAAAAAAGCUCUGUCUAGCACACUUGAGAUUCGCUGUUUUAAUCCUAUGCUUUAAUAUUUGUUUAUUCAGUCUUUCAUUUGCGUUAUUCCUGAAAGUUCAUACUCUAAUGGGAUUCUAUGGUUGCAGAUGCAGGGAACCGCUGCUCCCACCUCAUCUUUACAUGGCUUACUCUUGGGCUAGUGAAUUACGAACACCGGAUCUACCAAGCUGAUGCGUAUAUGGACCCUUCUUUUGAGUCGUAGGUAAGAUUCGGCUCAAUGCUCCGUCAGCAGGCAUAUAUUACUCCACGUGACACGAGUUGCUGCUGACCUUAUUUCAGAGUAGUGACAUAUCUCCAGUUUAAACCGAAUAUUAAUUAGCAGGCAUGGUUUGUUUGCACUCCUGGUCUCCGUCUCAAGGUGCGGUCACACUAGACUUUAAACAUGCAAAAUUAUUUCGAACGCCACUGCGAAUAUGGGCGGGAACAAGAUAAAACAGUCUCCCCUCAAUUAUCACAAGAUGGAUUAUUAUGUGCGCUAGCACUGUGUCUUUUGCAACGGCGUCAAAAGCGUUUUAUUAUAUUGUAACGUUACUCUGUAUCUCUCUAUAAAUAUAUACACCCUAAGGGGAGGAGGGGGAGAAGAAAGAGAGAGAGAGAGAAAAAAAAAAAAAAAAAAAAAAAAAAAUAUAUAUAUAUAUAUAUAUAUAUAUAUAAAACGUUGUCAUUUCAAUGUAUCACCUGUUCCCGUCGACACUACAAACCAUGCAGCUUUUCUUUUAUAAAUCUUUUAAUGUAUUAUAAACUAGGACCCUGUGCAACAGCUAAAGUAUAUAGCGCUUCCUUUUUGAAUUUUUGUACAGAGGCCAUGCAGCAAUGUAUCGCUCUUCUACUGGUCCACAUCCUCACGUUAUGCAAAUUCCCUGCUCCGAGUUCACCAAACUUGAACUUUGGAACGCAGCGAAAUGCAAAAUUUUUCGCAUAAGCUUGCGUUUCCGGUCCGACGCAUUCGCAUGCGUAUGAAUGGAAGUCAAUGGAGAGAAAAGUGCAGUGUGACCGCCCAUCACUCAUAACUAACUAACGUCUGGAGGGGCGCGUUAAGUAGGUUCUGCUCAUGCUGUCAAACUGACCUCAUCAGAAAAAUUAUUCGUUACAGGGUGGAAAUAUUCAGAAUUUGAUAAGAUUAAGACAAACAACGUUUAAUUGUUUACAUCAAGAUUAGCAAUGUGUGCUAGUAAGUCAAUUCGACUUAUGCGUAUUUUAAACUUAACCUCUGAUACCUCAACUUAAUAUUAUAAAAAAAAAAAAAAAAAAAAAUUGGGGAGUGACAGUUAAGGGGUUAAGCUACAAUCAAGGCUUGUUUAUAUUCGCGCAUCUACUGGUGUUGGUUCAUCACUCUUACUCGGCUGUUGCGCCUUUCACCUUACACUUUUAAACUUUCAGACAGCUGUGCCCUCAGCCAACCCGGAUUCUUCAGUCUGCCCUCCGUUAGCAGACAUAAUACUAAACGAAGUGCUUACGUCAGCUGGAAAUCACAUUUCUAAGGCGUCGCUCCCUCUACAAUCAAGCCUACACGUUUGCAUGGUCCGCUUCUAAUGUUUUCCUUCCAAUUUUUGCGUUCCUAUUCUAAUUUCGACCGUUGCUCCUUUCUUGUCAAAAAAAAAAAAAAAAAAAAUCGCAAUCUUAAUUUCUCUAUUCGCAGACUCCUUGCCAGCAUCUAAUCCACGCUAAAUUUUAUAAUCAAAUUUUCAAGCUUUUGGUUAUUCAGUUCUAUUACUACUUGAGGGGUUAGCUAAAUCUUCCAACAAAUUAAAGACAAAUGUCUGCCUAUUACCCUGCCCAUAUUGCAAAUGAAUUACUUCCAUCUGCUACGGCCUUCCUUCAAAGUACCUCAAUAUUCUUCUGGAGGCAGUGUUUAUCUGCUUUCUACAGGUUAUGCUUCCAGGGGAAUUCACUUCAAACCAAUCAAUUUGAUCCUGCUCGCGGCAUUUCCUUCAGAUCUAUGAUUCGGACCAAAAAUUCUUCACACUCUCCCCAAGCACUCAAAAAAAAAAAAAAAAAAAAAAAAAAAAAACCGAUGUGCAAGGUUCUGGAGUCACCUUAACAAUUCUAAAAUCAAUAAUCCUGUCCCUUCUCUGCAUGGUGAAAUUUCUUUAAAAAUCCGACCUAGAAUUUCUUAAACGCACCAGCGCUCUUUUUCCUAACGGAGCCCCCUUUCCAAGGCUGUUUAGAACUCACUUAACCACUGUUCUCAAAGCUGCAGUCUAUCUACUGGCCAUUCAUUCAGAAUUGGGGCAGCUACUUCAGCAGCUGAAUGAGGGAUCUCUACAUCAGCUGUUAAGAUCAUGGGCAGAUGGUCUUCCUAAGCAUUUGAAUCAUACAUCAGACCUGAUUCAAAACCAUUAUUGAAGCUCAGCAAGCUCUCCUGUAACUAAUCAGGAACCUUAGGAUUCACAACUGGUGGGUAUACUUCAUCUACUUUAUUUUGGGGGAAAGGCUGGCCCCGUCUGGAGGUCUCAUAAUCCACCUAAUUUUGGGGGUCUGCUGCGCCCCUGCCUUCGUCUUCAGGCAGGAAAUGCAGAUUCGCUACCCUCGGAUUACGAACCAUGGACGGGGCCUUCCGCCAAAGAAAUUUAUAAUUGUGCUCGCUGAGCUGUCAAUAAAUGUAUGCUUCGUACAUUCCUCUAUCUCCCGAGUCUUUCUGGUAGAAAUGGAAGCUUUAGCCUAAGUUCUGCCAGGAAGACUCAAUCACUUCGUCACUAAUUACCUUCAUCAUUAUCCAAUCACGUCUUCAUACUCCUGUAUAAAAGAUCGUACUUACACAUGUUUGAGUUCGCAGAUGCCAACGCGAUAACAACCUCCACCCUCCCCACCACCACCAGGAUGGUCCUGUCCUUACCUUCCAGGGGGGGUCUGCUGCGCCCCUGCCUUCGUCUUCAGGCAGGAAAUGCAGAUUCGCUACCCUCGGAUUACGAACCAUGGACGGGGCCUUCCGCCAAAGAAAUUUAUAAUUGUGCUCGCUGAGCUGUCAAUAAAUGUAUGCUUCGUACA